UAAACAUCCUAGUGACCUGGUUCUAACCAUGCUUCCUCCCUAAGGUACCAUGAGAUAAGUUUUAGUUUAGUUUUCUGUCUGAUUUUUACAGCCUUGCUAAAAUAACUCCAAGCAUUAUCUUCCAAAGGCACAAAGUGACCUUUCUCUUUGUCUCAGUUAAUGACUAUUCAGCUAAUUUUCAUUCAUGACGGAGCUCCAUAAGUAUAAUAGACAUCUACAUGAACAUAGAGCUCAUUAAGAACCAUGCUAUGACUAGAUCUAUUAAGCUUCUGUGAUGUCUGGUUUAUUCUGAUGGCCUUUAUGUGGUUGGCAGAAGGUGCUGCUUGUACAUCAAGAAUAAACAUGGGCAGAAUGAUUGGCAGUAAUUAGUGUCAUGCUUCAGGGCAAGCAAGCUAAUAAUGUAUUUCUCUGUCUACUAAGACACAGUUGAGAGAAGUAACUGGACUCAAAAAAAAUUCACAUGAAGUACAUGUUGUAAUUUUCUCUAAAAUGUGUUCCUUACUGAAGUAAAGGUGGUCAAACCUUUAUAAUGGGUAAAAGAUGUCAUGUACAUGUCCUAAGUUUUAAAAAAUGCUUAUGAUAAAGAACAUUUUCUGGAGUCAUUAAAAAAGACACCAAAGAGAAAAAAAAAAAUUAAAAAUCCCUUUAUUUUAUAUUGGGAACACUGUUCCUGACCUGUCAUACCGAUUUUACAGUGAUGAUGAUGAUGAUGAUGAUGAUGAUGAUGAUGAUGAUGAUGAUGUAGUUUCUGUGAUCACAGACUGAAGGUUUCAUGUCCCAGCAAAAAGAGGUAAAUAAAAUCAUGGAAAGAAUGUAUAAUUCUUUAGCUUCUCCAAAAUUGUAUUCAAGGCUCUUACAUUUAUCUGAUCUCCCAAAUAAGCCACGAAUCUUGCAGAGAUUAGUUUAUUUAACAUCCCAACCUGUAGGGUAACAUCUUUUUGCCUCAGAAAGGAUUUAUAUUAGCUUAAACCACUCAGUUUUUGUAUCCUUUUUGUAAAGGUGAUAAUUAAUUAAGCCGACUGCAUAAACAUAUAUGCAUUUAUUAGGUAUGUAUGUGUAUAGAUAUAGAUAUAGAUAUAUAUACAAACAGAAGUUUUCCAGUUUGCCACAGAAGCAUCCAGGGCCUUGAAGAGCAAAGGCCUUCCCCUUACUUCAGGGCUGAUGUUAGCCCAGGUGGCUGUGGCAUCCUACAGUUGCAGAUGUUUAGCCAAGAGAAUCUGAAUCUGUGGGCUUAAACACUUGAACUGGGUAAUGCUUAGAACCAAGGCCCUGAAAGUUUGACCAUUGAUCCUGGCAGGCCACUGCUCGUGCAUUAGACCCCAGCUCCAGAAAUGGUAGGACUUCUGUGCAUGGAUGGAGAUAAUCUUAAGACACUUUUUGCAGAUUGAGAAAGACUUUAGCUGUGUUUACUGGAGUAGCCAGAAUUUCACAUAUCUUAUUCCUCCUUUCUGUCUUAAUUAGGUGUCUGAGAAUUUAGCAUGGUGCUGUUGUGAAUCUCAACAUAGGAAAUAAAUCUUAGGGAACCAAAUUGGCAUUAUGAGCCCCAUCUCAUGCUUCUUUGCAUCACAGCAGCCAAGUCUCAUUUUUUGUAAUCGUAAAGCUGGUUUAUAUAGAACUAAAAUGUCAAAAAUUCCUUUAGCCCCAGCCAGUGUGGAAACACAAAUGAUAAUAAAUGGUCCUUGGUCUAAAUAUAUUUACCAGAAGAUGUUCAUAUUAAACUAAUUAGAUUAAACUAAUUUUUUUUUCUGAAAAGUCAUAAAGCUUAAUAACUAUUAAUGAAAAUUUACGUAGCUGUAGUGCAGAAGAAGAAAGGAGAAGUACUUUUUUGUUAUAUAGCAACUGUCCUAAAGAGCAUGAAGGACAUGCAGAGACACUUUAAUAUUAAUAAGAAUGUUUAGUAACUGAUUUUUUUUUUGUAGCAAAUAUGGAAAAACUAAUCAAGUAAUAAUACAUUUCAUCACUGUCUAUUCCAAACAGGAGCAAUUAUAUUAGAGAGUGAAAUGUGGAAUGAAUGUAGAAAUGGGCAGCUUGAGGUUAAAUGACUGGGUCACUGUUAGUGGAUGUUUUGUUGGAUCAUUUUUGAUUUGAAAAGAAUAAGCAUUUAUUCAACGAAAUUGAUAAACAGGCAAAACUUAUAAAGCAAUAAUGUGAAUGUUGUCUCGUAUGAUCCAGAAGUCUGAUAUAUCUUAAUUUUUCAAAUGUUGAACAAUACUGAGACCAGCUUCAGGUUGAUAUAAGCUGUAGUCCACGUUUUCCUUUUUAGGCUGAUAGGCACAGUACUUUUCUGGUUUCAAGGCUUAGACAAAAUAGCUGUGAAUGCCUUUAGAAAAUACGUAUUCCUUUUGUUUAAUGUUAAACUCACAAAUGCAACUCUCCUGACUCCCACCAUGGAGAGUUAAUCAUAUCGUAAUGGUGCCUAUGAAAUUAAAGGGGUGACACCCUCCCCUUUAGUAGUGGAAGAUUUAGCACCUAGUUUGAGGUGUGUAGGAUUUCAUUAAAUAAAGGGUAUGCCUGUAAAGAGGUAGGCUUUUUAGUUGUGUGGAAAGGAAAAAGAAAGGAUUUCCCAGACACUGCCUAUUUAGUGUACAUGCAUCAGACAACAUGGUUGUGCUGUGACUGCUGGAAACAUCCAGCUGGUGAUCUGUUAAUGUGCACAAGUCCUACAGUUUUGGUGCAAACCUUUGGAAACAUUCACAGUGCUAAGUAGCUGUGUAAUAAUGGAACACAAAGACACAUUCUCCUAAAUUAACUUCUUUCUAAAAAUAGAAAAAUAAAUCCAUAAAAUCUAAUUUCAUGUUUCUUUUUCUUGUGUACAGGACAAGUGCUUAUUUAAAAGCUUUCACAUUUUCCACAAUUGCAUUUCCCUUCUAUUUCUGAUUUUGGAUUUUACAUCUGACUUCUGAAAGAGAGUGUCAGAACCUUCCAAACUAAGAAUUCUUCUUCAUAAGGAAAUUCAAAGCAUGCAUUUCAAAUGCCUGCAAAGCAUAGUCCUUUUUUUUUUUAUAUCAGCUUUACUUUGUACUCUAUAGCUUGAAAAGUUCCAUACCUCCUCUAGGCUGUAAUGAUUAAUUAUCUACAAACUGCAGCUCAGUACAGACCUGAAGCUGAAGCUGUGCAACCAAGAGAGGGAACACUCACACCACAAGUUCACCCUGAGGUGGGAAAAGAGGGAGGAACCUCAGUGGAGGAACAGUAACGACCUCAAAAGCUAUUACCAGAAAGACCAGUUCCUGUUCACAGGAUGCUGGGUAUUCUGUGACAGCAGCUCAAACUGUUAAAUCAAACCCAGAGGUUGCCUUCAUUCAGAGGUAUCCCCAGCUGAUGUGUUUUGUUGAUCACUGUAUUCCAAACAGCAGCUGCUUGGGAGAAUUCUCGGUAGUUUUUUAUCUCCCAUCCAUCUUGAGUGUGCUGGACUUUAAAGCGUCGGUAAAGGCCGAAAAAAUAACUAUAAGGUCUUCUGACAGGUGUUGAAAAGUAGCCAAGAUGGCUACUGGAAAGAUUUUAUACUUUAAUGCUCUUUGAGACUCCUUAUUUUCUUCUAGAAAGAGAACCCAGAAUCUCAAGGUUUGCACUUUCAUGCUUGUAGAAUUCUCUCACAUGAAAAAUGCCUGUAACUCUGGCAGUGCUCCAAAAAACAUAUUAAAAGGAAAUUAUUUCCACCCCAAAGGCUAAACUACUGCAAAUAUGCUCGCAAGGAAAUUGGUCGUAGGAGUCACUGCAUAAUCUAGCAGAAUAAUACCAGAUAAUGCAGUUGAUUCUUUCUUUAAGCAAUAACUAUGUUAAGGUUUACGUGGGAUGGAAAAUGUAGAUCAGAUUUCUUGCCUAUCAACUUUUACAAUAACCUUUCAAGAUUAAAUGGUUACUUUUGGCCAAAGCAAUGUGACAUUGAGGUUAGUUUCAUCCCUUGCUAGGGCAAAUCCUUAAUGGUUUAUGUCAUGAACUAAGGAAAGGUAAUUUAAAAGAUUCAAAGGCAGGUUCUAGAAAGCUGCAUUAUCACUCAGACAUCCACCUUAUAACAAGAUUGACUUGUGUGGUUUUAAAUGCUCACGUUACAGUACGUAGUUUCAAAGCAUAGAUUAAUGAUUUCAGACUGCCAAACUUAAUUAAAGGUUGGAAUAAAUGUUCUCCAUUAAAACUCAUCAAUGCAUUUGACUGAGAUGGAAGAAUUUCAGUCAUAUCUUUUUUAAUUGCCUGUAGAAAGAAUUGAAGAGUUAGCAAAGUUAAAACUGUUGAAACACAUAAAUGGUGUCUAAAUAUUAUGCAGGAUCUUAAUCAUAUUAAAAGAGGAAGUAAAUUCAUUUUGUAGCAUAAUUUUAACCUGAAGAGCCUCGUAAGUGAAACUGAAGUAACAUGAGUAGAUGUCAAUGGCAUGUGGAUAUGUUUUUGCUUGUGUAUCUCAGGAGCUUCUGUAAGCACUAAUUAUUGCAGUGCACUGAGGACUCCUGUCCCAUACAAGUGGAAUAGAUGCUGAUAGUCCCAUGUUUUCAAUGAAUAUGCUCACUGAUAAAAUUUCUUACACCACUAAAAUGAAGUCCAUAUUAGCUCCACCAGCUCAAGUUUACUCAGCAGCUUGCAGGAGCAGUUCAGCUCUCCAGUUUACAUAAUGUUUAAACCUUUGUGUCUUUAUAAUUUUCUGUGCUGUUGCUCUUAAACAGCAUGAGAGAAUAACCAAGUCUGGAAUGAUACCCUCCCCUCCUGUGUUCUUCCAUUAUGAUUUAUCCUUUCCUUAAUCAGUGGUUUUUUUGUAAACUGUUAACUGAUCAAAAUAAUACACUGCUCAAGGAGAAAAAUUGAUGUGAUUUGGGGGCUUCAUUCAUAUUAGCACAUUUCACAGGUAGUGCAGCUUUUUCACUGGUUUCCUAUGAAGGGAAUGAAACAUGGAAUUGACAGCCACCUGUAAAUUCUGAAGUUAAAUACUAAUCUGCAGAUGAUUCUGACAUAUUACUCAGGUAAGCUUAUAACCUGGGUUUAUUGUGGAACCUCAUGGUUUCAAUGACUUUUACACAGUUUCUGUUUGGAAAUCCAGACAACAGUGGUGCUCCAGAUCACAGAGAACAAGUAAAGUGGCAGAGGCAUUGCUGGGGACAACCUGUUGUGCCAGGGAGGAGCAUCAGGGCCUGACUCUGCAGGAAAGGACUGCUGGCUCAGCAGGACCCUGCUGAUCUCACUGCUGCUCUGCAGGGCCCGUCAGGUCAAGCUGCUCUCAUGACAGAUGGCUAAUUCUUUUCAACAGAUUUGAAACAGCAAUACUGUGGUAGAUUAUUUUUUGUAGUACUAUAUAGAACCUUUUGCAAUGCACGCAACAUUUUUUAUGAAUUGCAUAGUUGUUUGGUUUUUUCCCAAGGAUGUUUGUGGGGCUAGAAGGAGCUUGCAAUAAAGCAAUUGUUGUGCUGGUUUUUUCUCAUCCAAAUGAUUACAGUAAUGAAGAAUUCAGCACAAUGUUAUGGAAAGGAAUUUAAAAAUAUGGCGCUCUGUACUUAAAACAUUAUGAAUCUAUUAAACUCAUUAGUAUGCAUAAUUUUGCAAUUUUUAGUCCAAAAAAUUGGAAAGUCAGUAUUUCAUGUAACUUGCAGUAAACAGAAGUGAUCAGUACAACAUGUUGCAAUAUUCAUUUCAGUUCUGGAACAAGAAGCUGGACAAACUUCAUGCAACAGCAAGCCAAAUGCAAUUUUGAACCGAUACACUUUGGUUGAAAUACUUUAUUAGCUAAGAUUUAUAUAUAUCCAUGUGCUGUUGAUUCAUCUUUUAUAGAAAUACUAUAGAAGAAAAAUAUAUUUGACAUCUUGGUAGGGAAAAAGAUUCUUCCAAUUUAUUAGCUGUUCUUCCACGUCUGAAUAUAAUCUUCAAAUGGCUUCUCUGGAGUACAUGCUCGGCUCACAUUUUUCAUUGGUUAGUUUCCUCUGAAAAUCAUUGAAAUUGCAUCAGUAAUGAAUCAAACCAAUCUUAUACAAGAUGAUUAUACUUUCCUGCGGUAACUGCAUUUUCUUGGAAAAAUUUUGCAAAUAAUAUGUGUAAACUCAAGAGAAAAACUGUUCUGAAUGCACACAGACAUCAAGAAAAAACUUUUUAAAAUGCUUAAUUGUUAUGAUGAUUUCUCUGAAAAGCAAAAUGCAAAAAAGAAUGAAAAUGAGCAAGUGAGAAAAAACAAGAAGUUUGUUACCCUCAUGGGAAUGUAUUCUCUGUCAUUGUGGAGUCUUGGCUUGCAGACAGCUUGGUUUUCCUUGAAGCAUUUUUACUAUUUUCCUGCUGUAUUCAUGCAUCCUAGCCUAGUGUUAAAAUUAAGGGUUGCAGCAAUCCCCAGUAUGAACACAGGCUGGGGGAUGGACAGAUCUAGAGCAGCCAUGUUGAGAAGGAUUUGGGGGUGCUGAUGGAUAAGAGGCUGGACAUGACCCAGCCUGGGCACUCACAGCCCAGAGAGCCAAACGUGUCCUGGGCUGCCUCCAGAGCAGUGUGGGCAGCAGGACAGGGAGGAGAUUCUGCCCCUCUGCUCUGCUCUGCUCUGCUCUGCUCUCCUCUGGUGAGGGAUGGAGCAGCUCUCAUAUGAAGAAUUGGGAUUGUUCAGCCUGGAGAAGACACCAGGGGUAACCUAAUUGCAGCCUUCCAGUCCCUAAAGCAACCUACAAGAAAGGUGGAGGGGGACUUUUUACAAGGGCACGUAGUGGCAGGACAAUGGUUAAUGGCUUUAAACAAAAAGAGAAUAGGUUUAGAUUAGAUGUUAAGAAGAGAUUCUUUACUGUGGGGGUGGUGAGACGCUGGAAAAGGUUGCCCAGAGAAGUUGUGGAUGCCCCAUCCCUGGAAGUGCCCAAGGCCAGGUUGGAUGUAGCUCUGAGUAAUCUGGUCUAGUGAAGGCUGUCCCUGUCCAUGGCAGGGAGUUUGGAGCUAGAUGAUCUUGUCCCUUCCAGCCAUAACUAUUCUGUGAUGGCGUAAUUUAAACAUUGGUAUAAGAAGCAAUUGGGUCUUUCCAAGAGUAAUCUGAGAUCCCAGUCUCCUCUAGUCUAUGCUGAGCCAGAUGCAGUGGAAACAAAAUGAACAUGAAUGACUGCUUAUGCAUCUUCUUUCUUAUUAUUCACACCCACAACCACAUUAUCAGAAUGGCGUGCAAGUUUUAAAAGUCACAAGUGGGAAUCUCUUCUGUUCUUUGUAGGUACAUUUGAUUUUAUUUUUAUAUUUGACUUUAAAAUAAAGAAAUCAAAAUAGAUCCGUAAUAGGAGCUUUGAAUUUUGUACUGAAACUGGGGAAGUGUGUAGGUGUUAAUGCCUCUUCCUCCUGGUAAUCACAACAGUCAUUGUAGCAGCAGAACAAAGCUGUCAGUUUAGGUCCUUGUUCCAAAGAAAGAUUCGGGUGGCUUGGGUCAUGCUCAGAAAGUGUUUUGGAGGCCAGUGUCUUAGAUUUCACUCUUGUGUUCAGCAGGAGAUCAGUGCCUACAGGGGUUAUAUGUUGUUUGCUUUAUGGAAGGAAAGAGUCUCAGGGGAGAGAUUUCAAGUGGAACCAAAGUGUAAAUUUCUGUCCUUACAUGGAUUUUUUUCGAUUGGUUUGUUUGUUUGUUUUAAUUCCUCUGGCCCUCAGUUGCUUCUCCAUUAAGAUUUCUACCUUGCAGGGAUAGUAUGGGAAUUAAAUGCAUUGUAUGAGCAUUCAUUUGGACAGUGAGCAAGUUUCUGCACACUCAGGUGGAAAGAAAAGGCACACAGCCUGCAGCUAAAAAAAAAAAAUAUCCCCUGUGACCAGUUAUUUCAACACAGCACCAUGGCUUAUGACCCAGCUGGUCUGUUCCUACAUCUCUACAACAAUACUCUUGCAGUCCUGACAGGAAUUUAUUUCUUACUUACCUAGUGAGAAAUCCCAAGAAAGCUCAAGAUGUUGCAUAGUAAUUACAUUUUCCUCAGUGGUAUUGCUGAAUGACAUAUUGUGAUAUAUCAAGAAGCAACUGUGAAUUUAACUUCACUCAUCACAGUACUUUGCCCAGUACAGUAGGUUUCCAGAUGAACAUAGUGAAUGUAAAAAUAAAGGGAAGUUUCUGAAUACCACACAGCAUCAUGCAUACUUUGUCAGCAUUAGCUUUCAAAGCACAUACAGUUCUCUGCUGGCUUGGGAAAUCUUCAUGUAUUCAUUAUGUAUUUAGUUUAUGUAUGCACUCUAAUAUUUAAGAAUAUAUUGUUUGCAGAUGGUUUCACAGGAGAAGACAAUAAUGAUAGUCAUUUGUCAGAAGAAUCAGACAUCAAACAUGAAGCUUUUUCAUUCUGUUUAGUGUUUAAUACACUAAAUGCAUAUUUCUUGUGAUUAACAGAACAGGGAAAACACUGAUAUUUUGAAAUGGCACUGGAAGCAAGAAAAGCAAAUAGUGUAUGAGCCUUCAGUGCAGACAGUGAAGCAUACCUUAGACCCAGGUCAAGAACAGCACUUAAAAAGAAACCAAAACAAACCAGUCAUCUUCUCUCCAGCAUGUUUCUGAGUUUGGUGAGGGUUUCCCUGAAGUGGAUUUUAAGUAUCAAGCUAGAAUAUGUUUCUCACCUUAGUAGGGAGUGGUGUAAUACCUUGAUAGCAGACAUGGGCAAUUUCUCAGUUUCUUUGUAGUAGUGAUACAUGCAAGCAGUCUUACUGACAAAUUGAGUUCUGAGUCAAGUGAUAAAAGUGUAUCAGAGGACCAGUGAAAUGUAUUUCAGAAAGAAUCAGCAGGAAAAAUGUCUAAAUAGUAUGAUAAUAAUAUACCUAGAGCAUGCCAGACUGAAAUAUAAAUACUAGAUGGUGUAUUAUAUAUCAUCUGUCAUAGUUCAAUCAAAUUUUUAAAAAUAACUACAUUUUUCAUUAAAGAUGGUGUCUGAGUAAUGAAAUCUCUCAGAAGAUAUUAAAUAUUAAAAAUUAAAUGCAAAA